rnacentral:rRNA from 1 species
UUGGCCUCAAAUCGGGUGAGACUACCCGCUGAACUUAAGCUAUAA